CUGCCAUGCAAGGUCCCGUAACACCAGCAAUGAACGUGCAAGCGCCAUUUGCGCAAGUUGAAAUACCAGCUCCUGUGCCAAUGCCUAAUCAAAAUGCUUGUCUUAGUAAUGAAAUAUGGAUUAUUGGUUCUUCAAUAAUAUGCAGUGCUCGUGAUCACUCGGAGAACAGACCUUCAGAAUUGGAGAUAACUGAAUUGUCAUGGGUAAAUUUUGUGGCGGAUUAUCAUUCUGUACUAAAGUCCGAAUGAUAAUUUUGGCGUAAUUUACUUCAUUUUAUGCAGACUAUGGAUAGCCCAGCUGCUAAUUCUGAAAUAUUGCUGAAUGGACCGCCCUUCAGUACACCAGCUUUGGAUCGCCCAGCUGUGAUACAAAGAUUAGUUCAAUCGUCAUCAACAUUUUAUUGAUUGACAAAUAUUUUGGUUGUGUACUGUUGUUGUAACAGUUGUUGUUGUUUUAUGAAUGAAUUUUGAUUAAAUGUUGCCAUGACAA